AUUCACGUUAUAAACAAUUUUUUUCCUCGUCGUGGGAAUUGAUAAGAUAACAGGUCAAUCAACACCCUGUUUUUUAUUGGUUUGUUAUAUACUCUUUCCCUCCUGGAUGAAUUCGGAAGAAUUGUUACAUAUAGGUACGAGCAAUGAACUAAUAAUUAAGUUUAUUUAUUGGAAACUCCCGGUGAAUAUGAAUUAUUUUGAAAAUUUCUUCUCAUUCCAAUUACUAAAUUCAACAUAUGAUCUUUUUGAAAACAAUGAUGCGCUCUAUCAAUAUGUACAUACAUACAUAUUUAAAUAUAUACAUUUCAUGAGUAUGCAAAACACUCAACAGUCUGAAAAUGAACUGCAUGACUUCUUUACACAAUACUUUUCAGAAUAAUAGGCAUACAAUACGAAUUAAUCCGAAAUAAACACUUGGAUUUCAUUGUGUAUAUAGUUUAGUUUCAGGAAAUUAAUAGGGAUAUUUAUAUUAUUAUACCACAUACAAGUGAAACUUUUGGAACCUAUUAACAAUGAGUGCAUUCAAUUCUUAAAUUUAGCAUUAGUGGCGUGUUAUUGCACGUUGAUAAAUAAUUCAUUCUAAAUGAACAAACAAUCCAAUUUAAACAGAAUAAUUAUUCAGUAUGUGACAACUCAAUGUGAGAAUUCGUAUAGCAAACACUGACCUUCUUGCUCCCUGCAUAGACGUACACAAUCCGAGGUUGAGUAUUUGCACUAAUCUAAACGGAUGAACAUAGUGUCAGUUAUGUCUAUGAUAAUACAUUUGUACUUGCAUAUAGUUUUCAUGGUGGUGUUUCGUUAGCCGGUGCCAGGACUUAUGUAGGUAACUGACAUAUCCGUCCGUGCCAGGAUACGGCCAAAACGGCUGAACCAAUUGAUUUCCAAUUUGAAAUCUACUUUUAGACAGAAUCUGAGAUUUUCAUAUUACUUACAUAAUCAUAUUUAUUAGUAUACAAGCUUAAGUUCUUUUCGGGGAGAAAAUUGGCCACGUGGUUGACCGAAGGUGGGGUUGGUUUGAAAUAUUCGGUCGUAGAAGGCUAAUAUUAGGAAAAUUUGUUAUGUAUUCUACCUUUAUUUUCACAUAUAAUUGCGCACACGUUAUCAUAUACAUACACAUUACACGUAUGAAAAGCUGACUACAAAUGAGUCGUACAUUAAAAAAUCCCUAAUCUUAAUAAAAAACUCGCAAAAACAAUCUACAAGAAUGAAGAAAUUAUUUGUUGUGUUGCAUGUAUGAACUUACUUACGAAAAUUGAUUUAAGUAGGAGAAUGAAAUUAAAUAAGCAUGAAGUGGAGGGGUGUACCAGAUUUACAAACAUUAAGCAAAGUUCAAGAUUUUUAUGCCAUCUUAACGCAACAAUAACGACCGUUUGCAAGACAUCGAUCUCAUAGAGAGUAACACUCAUAUCAUAAGUUUUCGAAGGUAACAGAAGGAAAAUGGCUGACUCGGGCUAUGCAUGUUCAGUCUGGACUUUUGUAACUCGCAAAGGAUUAUACAAUCUAAUCUUAGUUGGCUGUGUAGCGAAUGGACAAGUAUUAUAUAAGUGACAUUUUAGUAUUGUUAAUACCAGAGCUUUUUUCGAGAAUUAAUUUCGGCAUAGCCUCCACAUCAUUUUAUCGACAUUGUUCCGUCUGCCAGUUGGUAUAUUUAACCCUUGUUUUGGAACGACAAAACCUGUGAGAAUACAACAAGAUGUGUGAGUCAAUGUGUGCCUGCUGUUUUCCAUGUUGUUUCGUCAUGAUAAAGCGUGGGUGCGGAUCGGAUUGCUGCAUAAAUUGGCUUCUUGGACUCCUGUGCUGCGUCCCUGCUGUGAUUCACGCAUGUUCAUUCGUGGGGAAAGAAGACCUUCCACCACAGACCGUGGUGAUUUUACAACAGCCACAACCCCAAGCACAUCAAAUAAACGUCAGUCACACCCAACGUUACUAAUCCAAGCUAAUCAGUUUUAUUGGAUCAUCCAAAGAAAUAUGAAGCACAGGAAACAUUUUCAACUAUGCUCAAUUUUGAUCACAAUUUGUAUGAAAAAAUGUUAAGGAUUGGAAUAAAUUAUUUCUGCUUUGCUAA